rnacentral:rRNA from 1 species
UACAGAGGGGGCAAGCGUUGUUCGGAAUUACUGGGCGUAAAGGGCGCGUAGGCGGCCGCCUAAGUCAGACGUGAAAUCCCUCGGCUCAACCGGGGAACUGCGUCCGAUACUGGUGGGCUCGAAUCCGGGAGAGGGAUGUGGAAUUCCAGGUGUAGCGGUGAAAUGCGUAGAUAUCUGGAGGAACACCGGUGGCGAAGGCGGCAUCCUGGACCGGUAUUGACGCUGAUGCGCGAAAGCGUGGGGAGCAAACAGG